UACAUAGGGUGCAAGCGUUAAUCGGAAUUACUGGGCGUAAAGCGUGCGCAGGCGGUUUUGUAAGUCUGUCGUGAAAUCCCCGGGCUCAACCUGGGAAUGGCGAUGGAGACUGCAAGGCUAGAGUUUGGCAGAGGGGGGGUAGAAUUCCACGUGUAGCAGUGAAAUGCGUAGAUAUGUGGAGGAACACCGAUGGCGAAGGCAGCCCCCCUGGGUCAAAACUGACGCUCAUGCACGAAAGCGUGGGGAGCAAACAGG
rnacentral:rRNA from 1 species